ensembl:snRNA U6 U6 spliceosomal RNA
GUGCUUGCCUCAGCAGCACAUAGACUAAAAUGGGAAAGAUACAGAGAAGAUUAGCAUGGCCCCUGCGCAAGGAUGAUGAAAAAGUGUUUGGUUGAUCAUUUUUUA